rnacentral:misc_RNA from 1 species
AGCGAGAGCGGACGUGUGUCUGGGUGUGCUCCUGCGUGCGUCUCGGUCUCCUGGCUUUUUACGUGCAGUCGCGAGUUCUCUCUCAUUUCGCCUUCGGGGGGGGCGUCGAAAUUUCGGCUCCGUUUCCCUUGGCUCUUUUUUGGGGGGCUUCGUGAUUCGCCCGAUGGGAGUUUGAAGCAGUCGGUCCCCAUGACGAGAAAUUGUGUCUUAUUUAGAUAUUGUGGUUUUGAAGUGAUCGAGAUGAUAUGACAAGCAGUUCUCUUGGUGGAAUUUUGACCGAGAGGGAAAAAGCACAGAUUAUUGGCCUUUAUUGAAGUUUUUUUUUUCUUUUUUUUUCCUUAUUAUUAUCCUCCUUUUGACUUUCCUCGUGGUUUGGGAUAGUUCCAAAGAGUUUUAUCAUUGAUGGCAAGAACUAUAACAACGUUGAUACUUAUUAAUAAGAGGAGUUAAUAGAAAAGAAAAAGAAAAAAAAGCUCUUACUUAAGAAAAAGAGAGAAAAGAAAGAAAAAAAAAAUACUACACCAGGAAAUGAAAAUUAUAAGAAGCUGAAAGAGAAAUUCGAACCAAUAAAGAUGCAGAGACAGUUAAAGAUGGCAGUCUCCGUAGUGGUGCUGUGGGCGUGUCUGUGCGCCGUGUUGGCGUGUCCGCGCGAGUGCCGCUGCUCCCUGGACGAGCGCGGGCGGCGCGGCGUGCGGUGCGAGGGCGGCGGGAUGCGCGACCCGGUGCCCGUGCUGGACAUGGGCUCCGACACCGAGCUGCUGGUGAUCGCGGCGCCGCGGGAGAAGCCGAACGCCCUGUCGCUCGGGCCCAUCUUCCGCGGGCUGCGCCACCUGGAGGAGAUCCACAUCACGUGGUCCGGGGUGCCGGCCCUCGGCGCCCACUCCUUCUGGGGCCUCCACCGCCUCCACGUCCUUAACUUCACCAACAACCACAUCUCCGCCCUCAUGGACACCAACUUCCGCGGCGCCGACGCCCUGCGCCACCUGGACCUGAGCCGCAACCGCAUCCAGAGCGUGCCCUCCGCCGUGUUCCGCCACGUGCGGCACCUGCGGACCCUCUCGCUGGCCCACAACGUGGUGCCGGACCUCGUGCCUCGGAUCUUCUUCGGCCUCACCAAGCUGGAGAAGCUGGACCUGAGCUACAACCCCCUCGGCGACCUCCAGCCCGAGAGGUUCACCGACGUGCCCGACCUAAGGCAGCUGUCCUGCGCCGGCUGCAGCCUCAUGUCCAUCAGCAGCACCCUCCUGCAGUCGCUGUCGCAGCUGCGGGAGCUGGACCUGCGCAACAACCGCCUGACGCAGAUCCCCAUCGGCGUGGCGUCCGCUGCCUUACCCAACCUGGUCAGCCUCAAGCUGGACGGCAACCACCUGUCGUUCGUGGAGCGCGGCGCCAUCUCCGGCUCGCCGCUCGUCAGCCUCCACCUGGCGCACAACCGCAUCAGCCGCCUCGAGGUCGACGCCUUCUCCAACAGCUCCAUCAAGCACCUGGACCUGUCCUACAACCGCAUCUCGCACCUCGAGCCCGGCGCCCUCGAGGACAUCCUCGACCAGCUGCACGAGAUCAAGCUCUCGGGCAACUCGCUGCACGUGGACCAGCUGAUGAGCGUGCUGCCCAACGCGCGCCAGCUGCGCUACCUCGGCCUGGGCGACAUGGGCCACACCAAGCUCCCGGCCGAGCUGCUGCGCCACUCCCGCCACCUCCACCACCUCAACCUCUCGGCCAACUACCUGGCGGCGCUCUCCACCGAGGUGCUGUAUAACGCCCCCCACCUGUACACGCUCGACCUCUCGCUCAACAGCUUCCGCGGCCUGGAGGAGCAGCUGGUGGAGUCCAUCACGGCCGCCUCCGAGCUGCGCACGCUGCGCCUGGAGGGCAACCCGUGGCAGUGCGACCAGUGCCACGUGGGGCCGCUGCUGCGCUGGCUGCAGGACGCGCCCGACCAAGAGUCCGGCUGCGACGAGCCCAGGGUGUGGACCUGCCUCAAGUGCGUCAGCCCGCGGAGCGUGGCCGGCCUGCAGCUCGCCCUCCUGCCCCCCGGAGACCUGCCGCCCUGUCCCUUCACCACGCCCCCCGCAGCCGCCGUCUGGCCGACGUGGGUCGAGCCCUCCUACAGCGUCGUCACAGACGAGCCGGAGUUCCCUCGGGGAGAGCUUAGUCGGCAGGAGGACGCCGAGGGCGGCUGGUCCCUCCAGCGCCUGAUAGAGGAGGAGCUGUACUUGGUCAUCGUGGUCGGCUGCGUGGUCGUGCUGCUGCUGCUCGCCCUCAUCGUCGUCGCCGUCGUCCUGUACAACCGCCACUCCGCCUUCUACUACACGUACGAGGACGACCCCGAGAAGAAGGAGAAGCUGAUGAAGGCGAAGGACAGCAAGAACAACAACGGCCCGGCCACGAAGACCCCGACCAAGGGCGUCGCCGACGCCACCAUCGCCACCAUCGACGAGAUGACGGACAUCGCCGGCUCGCAGGAGGUGCUGGAGCCCGGGCAGACGCGCAAGAGCGCUCUCAGCGGCUCGCCCGCCCUCAACCACUCGCCGGCCCUCAACCACUCGCCAGGGACCAACCACUCGCCCGCAGUCAGCGCCUCUCCUGUCGCCAACCACAACCACUCGCAGAGCAACUCGCCGGCGCCCACGCAGAACAACGCCCACCCUCAGAACCACUCGACGCCCGCCCACAACGGCCGCACGCCCACCCAGUCUCCAGUCCCCAACGUCGUCCAAGAGGCAGAGGGGCGAGCCGAAAGCCCGACGCUCUAGUAGAGUGGCCCUUAUAGACAAGUUUCUUUUCGUGUCUUUUUUUUCUGAGAAAUUAUUUCAGAGUCUUAAGGAGAUGUGGCCACGAGAACGGUCGAGCUGGCAUACUAAACACGCGAAAGCAUAAACACACACACACACACACACACACACACACACACACACACACACACACACACACACACACACACACACACACACACACACACACACACACACACACACACACACACACACACACAUACAUACAUAACCAACCACAAUUACAGAAAUAAACACACGAUCACACACAUACAUGUACAGUAUAUAUAUUUUGUAUGGACGUGUAUCUAAAACUGGUUGUACGGCUGUGACUGAAAUGAAAGCAAGAAGUUACAUAGUGCUUUCACAAUGACUGGUGGUUGGGGGCGUGGCUUAGGUCACGUGACUUUCCGGAGGCGUUACUCGGAGGCGUUGCAUCAGUGUGAGUCUACGUCCCCGGGUGAAUGUGUAUUGCAGAGAUAAGAAAAAAAAACGUUGCAGAGACAAGAAAAAGUUGUAAAAGAAGUUGUAAAGGGACCUGUUAUAGAAAAAGGAGAAAGAGAGGUAUGAACGAAUAGCUCAGAGUAUUUAUUUAGCAAGACGAAUACCACACAGAAAAAAAAGAAUAUAUAUAUAUAUGAUUUCCCCAAGAAAGACUUUGAUGUAUUCCAUAAAAGAUCAAGACAAAGUUAUAUAUAAAAAAAAGAUGUAAAGAUUUUAUGUGUGAAAGAACUAUAUAACCAUUCUGUUUUUAUGUGAUGCCUCCUGCUCUUUCUUCUUCCCCCUUACGAACUCUGCAUAUCAAGCUUUCGUUAUUCCUGUCGCGUACGUUACGGACAGAGGUCAUCGUUUUUCCUGUCACGUACGUUACGGACAGGGCUCGUCGUUAUUCCUGUCACGUACGUUACGGACCAGGUCAUCGUUAUUCCUGUCACGUACGUUAUGGACGGGGGGUCAUUCCCAACCAGCGUGACGUCACUGUGCUGAGCUGAGCCGUAACACCAUAGACACACAUGUUAGUCUUCCAAAGAGAGAAUUCCUACUCUUAACCUCUUCAAGAAAUUCCAGGAAAAAAGAGGAGGAAAAUAAACCGAUGUAUUGGACCGGCAGUAGCUUCUCAAUAUAUAAUUUUUUUUUUCUCUCUCUCUCUCUCACGAGGAAAAAAAAUAUAAAGGAAGAAUUGAAAAGGAAUGUUCUGAUCAACAGGUGACUCAUGCUCACUAACUUGGUCCUUUUUUUAAAAAUUAAAUAUAAUGAUAUCAAAAGAUUUCAGAAAGGCCUUUUAUGUGCAAGUUCUGCCGUUCCUACUCUCUAGUGUUUGUGAUUUAUGAAGGAUUUUUGUAUAUUGCAGCAAAAGAUAAUAAUAAUGAUAAUAAAUAAUUUGAUAUUUUUUCACGUGCUCAUGAGAGAGAUUAAAUAUCUGAUAAGACAAGAGUCCUUUUCGACUGUCUCCUUUCAUUACAUGUUCUUUCAUCUUUUUUCAAUAUACAUAAAGUAAUUAAAAGCUGUAACAAAGAAUAACAUUUUUCUUUUGUUAAUAUUCUUGAAUGCUUUGAAAUUUUUCAACUUCUCUUAAUUUCUCAAGUAAAUCACUCUUUUAAAAAAACACACACAAACUAAAAGAAAAAAACAUAGUAAAUCUUAAAUCUCAAAUCAGUCUUGAACCUUUCAAUCCGAUUAUUAAUUCAAACCUUCGAAAACUGGACAAAAAAGUCGCAAAAGGGCUUUUCAAUUAAAAGAUUGUUUGGUAUUUGCCUAUAUGAAAACAAACAAACAACAAAACACUCUUCAUCCUGCAGCAUAUUCUGUAUUUGUUGUACUAGUCACUAAUUUGUUUUUUAUUCCUUUACCAUAUAUGUAUGAUAUAUAUACACACAUGAGACAUUAAGUGUUUAUAUGAAAAGGUUUCCCAGUGAUUCUGUCAUCUACGCCAUUAAGACUUACGUUUUACACAGUGGCAUUCAUAACUGAGAUUAAAA